GGUUCCAUGGUGUAAUGGUUAGCACCCUGGACUUUGACUCCAGUGAUCUGAGUUCAAAUCUCAGUGGGACCU
rfam:Alligator mississippiensis ScZkoYb_34.2, whole genome shotgun sequence.